UUAAGUUUAUACCUUUUAAAAAAGGAAACUUAAAAAUCAGUGGUGGGUGACCUCUGGAGGCAACUGGAAAAAAUAUACUGCUGCUUUCAAGAGUGAAGUGGGGAAUGAAGAAUCAGAAAGUAGAUCUUUCCAUUUAGAGAAGGCUUUUUCUUUUUUUUUUUUUUACAUUUAAUCAGGGUGAAUUAAAAUAUUUAAUUUAAAAAUGGCUUUACUGAACCUCAAUUCAGUUAGGUAAUUAAUCAAUUCAGUUAGGUAAUAGCUACUAAGUAUGUAAUACAAUGUUAGGGGAGAGACAUAUAACAUCCAUAGUUUCAAUCUCAUUGAGUUUAUAAUCUACUAAGGAACUGAAGAUAAGUGCUAAAAGAACUGUAACACGAGGUAAAACCUGUGACAAGAUUUAGGAGCAGCACAACUAUAUAGUUGUGAAACUAAACCAGCCUCAAGGCUGAAAGGCAGGUGAGAAAAGACUACCUACCAAAGUAGGUUUUGUUUGUUUGUUUGUUUGUUUGUUUGUUUUAACAUGGAUUCUCCAAAGAUAGGUAGAAAAGUCCUGGUUUGGCGUCAUUAGUCUACUUCAGCCCCUCUCUCACUGAUUACGACUGAAAGACUCAUGACAAAAUACAAAUGGCAACUACCUGCCGCCUCUGAAAAGUAAAUAAAGAAUUGAGGUAGGGAGUCAAAACUUAGAAACCUGCAAGGGGAUGAAUUUCCUGGCUUUUUUCUUCUUUUCUUGUGGUUUGUCCUGAGGAGAGACCCCAGCUGGGAACUGUUGGGUGGCAUGGGUAGCUAAAACUCGAAUAGAAAUCUCAUCUUUCUGUGCUGAAAGGAAAUAACGGUUAGCCCAGAACUCUAUUUUCAGUGAAAAUAUUUUCAGGAAUCAAAGUGAAAUAAAGACAUUCUCAUAUGAAGGAA